rnacentral:rRNA from 1 species
GACGAACGCUGGCGGCGUGCUUAACACAUGCAAGUCGAACGGAAAGGCCCUGCUUUUGUGGGGUGCUCGAGUGGCGAACGGGUGAGUAACACGUGAGUAACCUGCCCUUGACUUUGGGAUAACUUCAGGAAACUGGGGCUAAUACCGGAUAGGAGCUCCUGCUGCAUGGUGGGGGUUGGAAAGUUUCGGCGGUUGGGGAUGGACUCGCGGCUUAUCAGCUUGUUGGUGGGGUAGUGGCUUACCAAGGCUUUGACGGGUAGCCGGCCUGGGAGGGUGACCGGCCACAUUGGGACUGAGGUACGGCCCAGACUCCUACGGGAGGCAGCAGUGGGGAAUAUUGCACAAUGGGCGGCAGCCUGAUGCAGCAACGCCGCGUGCGGGAUGACGGCCUUCGGGUUGUAAACCGCUUUCGCCUGUGACGAAGCGUGAGUGACGGUAAUGGGUAAAGAAGCACCGGCUAACUACGUG